UGAGGGAAUAUUGGGUCAAUGGGCGGAAGCCUGAACCAGCCAAGUAGCGUGAGGGGGUGACUGCCCUAUGGGUUGUAAACCUCUUUUAUAAGGGAAUAAAAUACGGGACGUGUCCUGUUUUGCAUGUACCUUAUGAAUAAGGACCGGCUAAUUCCGUGCCAGCAGCCGCGGUAAUACGGAAGGUCCGGGCGUUAUCCGGAUUUAUUGGGUUUAAAGGGAGCGUAGGCUGGAGAUUAAGCGUGUUGUGAAAUGCCGCGGCUCAACCGUGGCCCUGCAGCGCGAACUGGUUUUCUUGAGUGCGCUGAAAGCGGGCGGAAUUUGUGGUGUAGCGGUGAAAUGCUUAGAUAUCACGAGGAACCCCGAUUGCGGAGGCAGCUCGCUGUAGCGUAACUGACGCUGAAGCUCGAAAGUGC
rnacentral:rRNA from 1 species